rnacentral:rRNA from 1 species
UCCAGACUCCUACGGGAGGCAGCAGUGGGGGAUAUUGGACAAUGGGGGAAACCCUGAUCCAGCGACGCCGCGUGAGUGAAGAAGUAUUUCGGUAUGUAAAGCUCUGUCAGCAGGGAAGAAAGAAAUGACGGUACCUGAUUAAGAAGCCCCAGCUAACUACGUGCCAGCAGCCGCGGUAAUACGUAGGGGGCAAGCGUUAUCCGGAUUUACUGGGUGUAAAGGGAGCGUAGACGGUGAUGCAAGUCAGAAGUGAAAGCCCGGGGCUCAACCCCGGGACUGCAUUGGAAACUGUCCGGCUAGAGUGCAGGAGAGGUAAGUGGAAUUCCUAGUGUAGCGGUGAAAUGCGUAGAUAUUAGGAGGAACACCAGUGGCGAAGGCGGCUUACUGGACUGUAACUGACGUUGAGGCUCGAAAGCGUGGGGAGCAAACAGGAUUAGAUACCCCCGUACGG